UUUCCGUAGGUGAACCUGCGGAAGGAUCAUUAACAAAUAAAAAUAAUCCACCUUUUGGGUGAAAAAUUAUUUCUUUUUCUCCCAUUAGCAACCAUGUGAAAAUUAUGUUAAAGUUUAUACCAGUAUCCAAUAGCCUUUGGGCUUUGGAACCAAUUUUAAAACAACCAAAAAGUUUAACACUUUGUCUUAUGUCUUAUUUCAUUUGGUCUUUCGGGUUUUCCACUGAAAAAUAAAACAUUGAAAAACAACUUUUAACAACGGAUAUCUUGGCUCUU
rnacentral:misc_RNA from 1 species